UCUACCAAUUAAGUCGACGCACUACGCGACCGGAAGUUGGUUAAACGGUUUAUGUCUAGAUGUUAACAACAGCGUCUUGAAAUUCCAUAUAAAAAAACACUCGUUUAAAAAAAAUAAAGUAAGGGAACAUGUCCGACAACGAAGGAGAUUUUGAUGAUGGAGACUUUGAUGACGCUGAAGAGGAUGAGGGAUUGGAUGACCUGGAAAACGUUGAAGAUGAGGACCAAGAGAAUGUGAAGAUCCUGCCUGCAGGGGAGGGGUCGCAGGCUAACCAGAAGAUGAUCACAACCCAAUACAUGACCAAAUAUGAAAGGGCCAGGGUGCUGGGGACACGCGCCCUCCAGAUAGCGUGAAUACACCUCAGCAGUGUUGCAAUACGCUAGGAAAGUGAAACCUCCGCUUCUUUCUAGAAAUGUCUUUAUGCCCUUGACUCCCUGUGAAUACGGUCUAUUAAAAAGAGCCUGUGUCAAGCCUCUUAGCUGAGAGCUAGUAACCAUCUAUGGGUUUCUCAAAUGAACAUUUUGGAAGUUAAUUAAAAUACGAUAUGGAGAUGACCUUUAUCUCUUGCAUGGCUGUAAUGCAUAUGUAUGAUUCCACCCAUGUCUUGCCUUUACUCAAGACAGUCAUUUGUCUAAAGGUGAAUAUCAAUAUUGAAACAGAGAAACUAGGACUCAAAUAUCUAAAACAAACUACCAUAAUACACAUGACAACUGACUGCGUUCUAAAUGAUAAAGCUAGCUGUUUUGGUACAGAAUUACAACAAAACUUUCCAAAACCAACGUGAAUCACAACCUUACACCGUAAUGUUUGAAGGAGCUUGGUGCCUACAGCAUGGCUGACAAGAUGUACAACAAAGGGAAAAAAUGACAGCAGUGGACACGGAAGAUAAAUCUUCUCCCACGUGGAUGCCAUGUUCCCAGCAUAUUACAACAGAUGUUUAUUUUUGCCACUACUACAGGAUGUGUGCCCCAGUCAUGGUGGAGCUGGAGGGAGAGACAGACCCUCUGCAAAUUGCCAUGAAAGAGCUAAAGUGCAGGAAGAUCCCCAUCAUCAUCCGGCGGUACCUUCCUGAUGGCAGUUAUGAGGAUUGGGGCUGUGACGAGCUCAUCAUCACAGACUGAGCCAGACCAAACAGGACUGGCAGGGCCAAACCACCUCGCAACCCACUAGGCUGGUGUGAGUGCAAACUUUUGUUCCAGAAAGCAUUAACACACCUUAUUUAACUAGUCCGGGUCUAUUUAAGACUAUGAUUCAUUGAUUAGUCAAAUCCUGUGUGUUACUGCUUGGCUGGAACAAAUGCCUACAUACAUACUGGUCCUUUGCUAUAACCUCACCUGCACUGGGCCAACCAGCUCUACAGGCAACCUGCAAAGUGAAGUCUUCAAUUAAUAAGACUUUUUACAUUUUAGGCCUGUGACCCCUCCCACUGUAUCUCCAUUGAUUUUGAAAACAUUGAAGCAUGUACACUCUAUGAAGUGAAAGUAGGGCUUCUAAAAGCUAUGUGCUGUUAUUACAGCUGUUAUUCACAAGGGAGAACUGUAAUUCAUGUCUACAUUUACAUUGUGUUAGGUAAAAAUGUAAUUGUGUUUAUGAAUAGUUUUAUGACGGGGAAGAGCAGUUGCUGUGGAAGAGCUCUUUGUUUUAUUGUUGUGAUUAAAUUGUUUUGUAACAAAGUACUUUUUGUAUUUUUCUUACCAACACAAUUGACUUAUUGCAGGUCUCUGACUUUUUAUAAAGUUUAAAGCAAAAAAAAGUAUUUGGAUUUUUUUCAUGCAGUGUUAAUUGCAAAACAUCUAAUUAAAUAUCUGCUACAGA